UGAAUAAAUAACAGCAUGAGUUUAUAAUAAUAUUGAAUACACAUUUUUCAUCUCAACUCUAAACGUUUGGACCUGUAUUUGAACUUUCCAGAGCCCCUAACCCUGCCCGUACCUCUCCUAGACUCUCACCUUCAUACUUUUAAUAAAUAAAAUAUACAACUUAAUAGAAUUUGGAAUUAAUUUUUCCUGAGAGCAGUAGACUUGAUUAG